rnacentral:siRNA from 1 species
CAAUGCAUUGAAAGUGACUA